rnacentral:misc_RNA from 1 species
GAUGAAGAACGCAGCGAAAUGCGAUAAGUAAUGUGAAUUGCAGAAUUCAGUGAAUCAUCGAAUCUUUGAACGCACAUUGCGCCCCUUGGUAUUCCGAGGGGCAUGCCUGUUCGAGCGUCAUUAUAACCCUCAAGCUCAGCUUGGUGUUGGGGCCUGCUGCACUGGCAGCCCUUAAAAUCAGUGGCGGCGCCAUCUGGCUCUAAGCGUAGUAAUUCUUCUCGCUAUGGAGUCCUGGUGGAUGCUUGCCAUCAACCCCCAAUUUUUCUAUGGUUGACCUCGGAUCAGGUAGGGAUACCCGCUGAACUUAAGCAUAUCAUAAGCGGAGGA